rnacentral:rRNA from 1 species
UACGUAGGUGGUAAGCGUUGUCCGGAUUUAUUGGGUUUAAAGGGUGCGUAGGCGGUCUUUUAAGUCAGUGGUGAAAUACUUCAGCUCAACUGGAGAGGUGCCAUUGAUAUUGGGAGACUUGAGUACUGAUGAGGUAGGUGGAAUGGACGGCGUAGCGGUGAAAUGCUUAGAUAUCGUCAAGAACACCGAUAGCGAAGGCAGCUUACUAGACUGUAACUGACGCUGAUGCACGAAAGUGUGGGGAUCAAACAGG